GCACCUGAAAUCUUCGGUAGUAUAGUGGUCAGUAUCCC
rnacentral:sRNA from 1 species